UACGAAGGUGGCAAGCGUUGUUCGGAUUUACUGGGCGUACAGGGAGCGUAGGCGGUUGGAUAAGCCCUCCGUGAAAUCUCCAGGCUUAACCUGGAAAGUGCAGAGGGGACUGUUCAGCUAGAGGAUGGGAGAGGAGCGGCGGAAUUCCCGGUGUAGCGGUGAAAUGCGUAGAGAUCGGGAGGAAGGCCGGUGGCGAAGGCGGCGCUCUGGAACAUUUCUGACGCUGAGGCUCGAAAGCGUGGGGAGCAAACAGGG
rnacentral:rRNA from 1 species